rnacentral:rRNA from 1 species
AUGGUUUUGCGCAUGCUUUAACAUGCAGUCGAACGGUAACAGGUCUUCGGAUGCUGACGAGUGGCGAACGGGUGAGUAAUACAUCGGAACGUGCCUAGUAGUGGGGGAUAACUACUCGAAAGAGUAGCUAAUACCGCAUGAGAUCUAAGGAUGAAAGCAGGGGAUCGCAAGACCUUGUGCUACUAGAGCGGCUGAUGGCAGAUUAGGUAGUUGGUGGGAUAAAAGCUUACCAAGCCGACGAUCUGUAGCUGGUCUGAGAGGACGACCAGCCACACUGGAACUGAGACACGGUCCAGACUCCUACGGGAGGCAGCAGUGGGGAAUUUUGGACAAUGGGCGAAAGCCUGAUCCAGCAAUGCCGCGUGUAGGAUGAAGGCCCUCGGGUUGUAAACUACUUUUGUACGGAACGAAAAGACUCUUUCUAAUAAAGAGGGUCCAUGACGGUACCGUAAGAAUAAGCACCGGCUAACUACGUGCCAGCAGCCGCGGUAAUACGUAGGGUGCAAGCGUUAAUCGGAAUUACUGGGCGUAAAGCGUGCGCAGGCGGUUAUGUAAGACAGAGGUGAAAUCCCCGGGCUCAACCUGGGAACUGCCUUUGUGACUGCAUAGCUAGAGUACGGUAGAGGGGGAUGGAAUUCCGCGUGUAGCAGUGAAAUGCGUAGAUAUGCGGAGGAACACCGAUGGCGAAGGCAAUCCCCUGGACCUGUACUGACGCUCAUGCACGAAAGCGUGGGGAGCAAACAGGAUUAGAUACCCUGGUAGUCCACGCCCUAAACGAUGUCAACUGGGUUGUUGGGGAAUUAACUUUUCUCAGUAACGAAAGCUAACGCGGUGAAAAUUGACCGCCCUGGGGGAGUACGGCCCGCAAGGGUUGAAAACUCAAAGGGAAUUGACGGGGGACCCGCACAAGGCGGUGGGAUGAAGGUGGGUUUAAUUUCGAUGCCACCGCGGAAAAACCUUUACCCCCCCUUUUAACAUGUUACGGGAAAUUGACCCAGAAGAUGGAACAUGGUGCUCCAAAAGAAGAACCGAA